ensembl:snRNA U6 U6 spliceosomal RNA
AUGGUUCACACUGGCAGCAUAUGCACUGAAACCAGAACCAUACAGGAAAAUUAGCAUGGCCACAAUGAAAGGAUGACACACAAAUCUUUGUAACAUUCAUAUUUUUG